rnacentral:tRNA from 2 species
GCCCCCAUCGUCUAGUGGACCAGGACGUGGCCCUCUCAAGGCCAAGACCGGGGUUCGAACCCCCGUGGGGGCA